rnacentral:rRNA from 1 species
AUUGAACGCUGGCGGCAUGCCUUACACAUGCAAGUCGAACGGCAGCACGGGAGCAAUCCUGGUGGCGAGUGGCGAACGGGUGAGUAAAGUAUCGGAACGUGCCCAGUCGUGGGGGAUAACGUAGCGAAAGCUACGCUAAUACCGCAUACGAUCUAUGGAUGAAAGCGGGGGACCGCAAGGCCCCGCGCGAUUGGAGCGGCCGCUAGCAGAUUAGGUAGUUGGUGGGGUAAAGGCCCACCAAGCCGACGAUCUGUAGCUGGUCUGAGAGGACGACCAGCCACACUAGGACUGAGACACGGCCCAGACUCCUACGGGAGGCAGCAGUGGGGAAUUUUGGACAAUGGGCGCAAGCCUGAUCCAGCAAUGCCGCGUGCAGGAUGAAGGCCUUCGGGUUGUAAACUGCUUUUGUACGGAGCGAAAAGGCUCUCACUAAUACUGGGGGCUCAUGACGGUACCGUAAGAAUAAGCACCGGCUAACUACGUGCCAGCAGCCGCCGCGG